rfam:Salmo salar isolate Sally breed double haploid chromosome ssa01, whole genome shotgun sequence.
GGGGACCAGUACUGUAAGUCGCUUUGGAUAAGAGCGUCUGCUAAAUAAUGUAAA